rnacentral:rRNA from 1 species
UAGGGAAUCUUCGGCAAUGGACGAAAGUCUGACCGAGCAACGCCGCGUGAGUGAAGAAGGUUUUCGGAUCGUAAAACUCUGUUGUUAGAGAAGAACAAGGACGUUAGUAACUGAACGUCGCCUGACGGUAUCUAACCAGAAAGCCACGGCUAACUACGUGCCAGCAGCCGCGGUAAUACGUAGGUGGCAAGCGUUGUCCGGAUUUAUUGGGCGUAAAGCGAGCGCAGGCGGUUUCUUAAGUCUGAUGUGAAAGCCCCCGGCUCAACCGGGGAGGGUCAUUGGAAACUGGGAGACGUGAGUGCAGAAGAGGAGAGUGGAAUUCCAUGUGUAGCGGUGAAAUGCGUAGAUAUAUGGAGGAACACCAGUGGCGAAGGCGGCUCCCUGGUCUGUAACUGACGCUGAGGCUCGAAAGCGUGGGGAGCAAACAGG